rnacentral:rRNA from 1 species
GCUUGGCCCUAAACCUCAAUAGUUAAAAUAACAAAACUAUUCGCCAGAAUACUACAAGCAACAGCUUAAAACUCAAAGGACUUGGCGGUGCUUCAUACCCCCUAGAGGAGCCUGUUCUGUAAUCGAUAAACCCCGAUCCACCCCACCCUCUCUUGCUUAGUCUAUAUACCGCCAUCUUCAGCAAACCCUGAUGAGGGCUACAAAGUGAGCGCAAAUGCCUUCCCCGCAAAAACGUUAGGUCAAGGUGUAACUUAUGAGACGGUAAAAAUGGGCUACAUUUUCUACUUCAAAAAACCCCACGAUAGCUCUUAUGAAAUCUAGGAGCCCAAGGAGGAUUUAGCAGUAAAUUAAGAAUAGAGUGCUUAAUUGAACUAGGCCAUAAAGCACGC